rnacentral:rRNA from 1 species
AGAGUUUGAUCAUGGCUCAGGACGAACGCUGGCGGCGUGCUUAACACAUGCAAGUCGAGCGGUAAGGCCCCUUCGGGGGUACACGAGCGGCGAACGGGUGAGUAACACGUGAGCAACCUACCCUCAACUUCGGGAUAAGCCUCGGAAACGGGGUCUAAUACCGGAUAUCACUUCCUGCUUCAUGGUGGGGGGUUGAAAGUUCUGGCGGUUGGGGAUGGGCUCGCGGCCUAUCAGCUUGUUGGUGGGGUAAUGGCCUACCAAGGCUUCGACGGGUAGCCGGCCUGAGAGGGCGACCGGCCACACUGGGACUGAGACACGGCCCAGACUCCUACGGGAGGCAGCAGUGGGGAAUAUUGCGCAAUGGACGAAAGUCUGACGCAGCAACGCCGCGUGAGGGAUGACGGCCUUCGGGUUGUAAACCUCUUUCAGCAGGGACGAAGCGAGAGUGACGGUACCUGCAGAAGAAGGACCGGCCAACUACGUGCCAGCAGCCGCGGUAAUACGUAGGGUCCGAGCGUUGUCCGGAAUUAUUGGGCGUAAAGGGCUCGUAGGCGGUUCGUCACGUCGGGAGUGAAAACUCGGAGCUUAACUCCGAGCCUGCUUCCGAUACGGGCAGACUAGAGGUAGGCAGGGGAGAGCGGAACUCCUGGUGUAGCGGUGGAAUGCGCAGAUAUCAGGAAGAACACCGGUGGCGAAGGCGGCUCUCUGGGCCUUACCUGACGCUGAGGAGCGAAAGCGUGGGUAGCGAACAGGAUUAGAUACCCUAGUAGUCC